AUUGAACGCUGGCGGCAGGCCUAACACAUGCAAGUCGAACGGUAGCACAGAGGAGCUUGCUCCUCGGGUGACGAGUGGCGGACGGGUGAGUAAUGUCCGGGGAUCUGCCCGAUAGAGGGGGAUAACCACUGGAAACGGUGGCUAAUACCGCAUAACGUCGCAAGACCAAAGAGGGGGACCUUCGGGCCUCUCACUAUCGGAUGAACCCAGAUGGGAUUAGCUAGUAGGCGGGGUAACGGCCCACCUAGGCGACGAUCCCUAGCUGGUCUGAGAGGAUGACCAGCCACACUGGAACUGAGACACGGUCCAGACUCGUACGGGAGGCAGCAGUGGGGAAUAUUGCACAAUGGGCGCAAGCCUGAUGCAGCCAUGCCGCGUGUAUGAAAAAGGCCUUCGGGUUGUAAAGUACUUUCAGCGGGGAGGAAGGCGAUGUGGUUAAUAACCGCGUCGAUUGACGUUACCCGCAGAAGAAGCACCGGCUAACUCCGUGCCAGCAGCCGCGGUAA
rnacentral:rRNA from 1 species